AUGUCGGUGGUUCAAUGGUAGAAUUCUUACUUCCCAGGCAGGAGACCCAGGUUCGUUUCCUGGCCAAUGUA
rnacentral:tRNA from 1 species